GGGCUCUAGCUCAGUGGCAGGGCGUCUGAUUUGCACUCAGAAGGUCCCAGGUUCUGUUCCUGAGCAUCUCCA